UCCCUCUCCAGGCCCAGGGAAAAAUAGUAUUCUCUGUGCGGCAGCUCGGCCCAGGAUACUUGGAGAACAGAGACGAAAAGAAUGUCAAGGGGAGGAAACAAGGAGAGCCGAGAAAAGGGGCUGUGAAAACCGUCUUCAUUUUUCUUCCAUCCCUUCAAUGGCCUGGGAAAAGCCUGGAAGAUGCUUCUGUCAGCUGCCAUCACAGGAGAGGGAUGCGUCACCAGGAACCCCCCCUAUGCUACAGGUCAGCACAUUUAACCCUCCAGCAGUCCCGAGAAAGCCAAUGACUGUCAUUCCCACUUGGUCUUCGGGGACUCCAAGGCUCAGAGACAUCGAGUAACUUCUCCAGAUUUACACAGCUAGUCCGUGGAAAAGGAUUCCAGAACUGUCUCCCCUCUGGGGGAAUGUUACUUCUUGUCCCUUCUUGUUGUAUUGUGUUCUGUCCUUCCUGCAUGCUUGGGUGCACGCAGGUAUUGUGCUUCCUUUGCACAACUCUUGACAGCACUCAAGAAGAAGAAGAAGAUGUAGACACUAAAAGAGUGGCACGGAGACUGUCGGUCAUAUGGUGCCGUGUGUAUACGGGCCUGGCGGCUGCAGAAACAAUAACUAGAGUAGCCAAGAUGUGGGUCAUUCCUCUCCCUAGGAGGGGACGGUUUGUGUUUGCCAGCUUCAAGAAGCCCACCAGCUUCUUGCAAAAGACAUCAUUAGAUGAAAGUCAGCUCUUCCCACCUCCGUAAACCAAACCAAAUAAAGCCAUUUGGACUUGAUGUUCAGAAACUCUCCACUCUACAGUAUUAAUUCAUGAAAAGAAAAGAAAAAGGGAAAGACCCAUUCCUUGGACAAGACGUGAGUUUCCAUUUUUAAAUGGUAUGAUUUCAAAUGCUAAAAGGGCAGAGUGAAACUAGGGCACACCAGAAGGAAUUUCCCCAAGGAUGGCCCUUGUUCAGUGGGUCCACUGUGCUCACACACUGUGGGCUUACGCUCUGUGGCAUGGUUGAAGGGACAAUGGCAGGACGAGAAGAAAUACCCAGGCUCCCAGCACUGUUCUGGGUAUUCCAGUCACCAAACCUUUAGUGAGUGCUUGCCUUUCUCCAGACCUACACUAGGUGCUAGGCAUGCAAAGUGAGAUUCUCAACGUAUUCUUGUGUGUCUUUCAGAAACUGUGUAAAAACGGUGUAAGGUAUUUAAUAAUUAGGUUGGUUACAAAAAGGAGAAAGGUGAGGAGGAGAAGAAGGAGGAGAAGAGAAAUCAAGUGUUGGCGAGGAUGUGGGGCAAAGGGAACACUUGUAUCCUGUUGGUGGGAAUGUUAAGUGGUGUGGCCCCUGUGGGGAAACAAUAUGGCGGUUCUUCAAAAAAAUAAAUAAAUAAAGGCCAUAUGAUCUAGCAAUUCCAUUUCUGGGUAUACCCCAAAGAAUUUUAUUUUAAUACCCAAAAGAAUUAAAAACAGGGUCUCAAAGAGAUAUUUGUACCUCCAU